GCGGGAAUUCACCUGACCGAUGAGAUCACUGUUAAGAUCAGAUAAAAGUCGUUUUUAAUGUUUGGUCCGUUUGGAGACAGAAACUUCGAAGAAUUAUGAUCUGGAUGGGAGUCGUUGCUGAGCUGCUAUCAGCAAACACCAUGCUGACCUUUGCUCCCGCUCGGCUUUACAGCAGCUGUACAGACAGUGGCAGCCUCUAUCCCACUGAUUAUCCACGCGCAGGAUGACAGGUGACCUUCUGAUCGUGCGCUGUGUGACUGACUCUUCACGGCCUUCAGGAGCCCCUGUGUCAUUGCCUCUUUGACAUUUUGGACCAUUACUGUCAGCAGCAGUAACAACAGCUGCUCUUUGUGGUUGCCACUUUGUUGUUAAGACACAGUUUCUGUUGUGAUACAAGAAGGAGUUCACAUAUUUCCAUCAAGCCUGAUUGGCCGCUCGAUCAUCAUCAUCAUCAUCAUAUUCAUGUAUUGAGAAAAGAUACAUAUAACAUUUACACAGACACUCGGAGUAUUCGAUACCGUAAAGUAAACAGAAUAAAGUUCAUCCUCCUAAAAGAUACAUUGAUUUUGAUUCACAAAAUACUUAUCAAUAAUAAGUGAAUUCAUGCAUUUGAAUGACUGGAUAGAAAUGUACAUCACAUGAGUAAUAAACAGGCAGUGGGAAUAAAACAG